rnacentral:rRNA from 1 species
CGCCAUAGCCAUAUCACCCUGCAGACCAAGACUCACUGAAGCUAAGCAGGGCUGAGCCUGGUCUGUACCUGGAUGGGAGACCACAUGGGAAAUUUGGUUGCUGUUGGAA